rnacentral:lncRNA from 10 species
AUAAAAUGGCUUGCUCAAGAAACCAGGUUUGAAGUGGAGGUUUGCCGUCACUCCCCAGAUCUGUAUGGAAGUGUCAGAAGUGGAGUCAGCUAGUUAGUUCACCCCAAUAGGUACUGAGAGCUAUUAAGUCUGUACCACUGUGUCGGGAGAGACCAGGAGGAAUCGAGCAGAGCAUGGUCUAAUAAACAGAGAAGGCUCAGGAGGGUCAGAAACACGGUGCCUCAUUUCUCAGCCUACUUGCCAAGAAUUCCCAAAAAGGAAGCACUGGAGGAUCAUUCCAAGGCUUGAGGUCCAGGACUACCCACUUCCCUUGGAAUGGUGUUGCCAUCACUGUUCUGGCACCGGAGGUAAGGAUUCUACAUCGUUAGGAGAAAAGAAAAAGGAGAAUUUGGGCUUGCACUGAGAGGAUUACCUUUGGUGGUCUGGAAGUGGUGGCUGCACAGGGAGCAUGGCUGGGAGGCCUCAGGAAACUGACAAUCAUCAGUAGAAGAUGAAGAGGAAGGAGGCGCAUCUUACAUGGCCAGAGAAGGAGGAAGAAUAAGAAGGGAUUCUCCAGCUGGAGCCCUAUAAAUUGGACUGACAAAAGACAGAUUAGCAAGAGAAAUGCAAGCAGCAGUUUAUUAACAUGUGCAUCAUGAUUACACAUGGAAGUACCCAGAGGCAGAAUUAAAGAUUCAAGAUGUACCUACUUCUUCCGGGGACAACAUUCAUGAUUCUUAAAGAUUUCACAAGUGUACCUUCUAAGGGUAAGUGGCUGGAAGUAGUAAGAGGUCAAUGCCAAGUGAAAUCCUCUGGCGUUUUCUUCUGACAACCAGGAGUCUGCAAAGUGAGUUUGCUGGGAGCGUCCAGUUUUUUCAGCUUAACGUUAGGUGUACUUUCUGUCUUCGGCACAAAUUGUUUCCAAAUGCCUGUGGGUUGCAAUAUGAUUUUCCCAUCUUGAAAAUCUAUUAAAAAGGAAGAGAUUCUUCACUUCUCCCCACCCCACCUCCAGGCACUGCAGAUGGCGAUUAACACCCUACACAGCCCCUCCCCAUAGCAUCAUCGAUUUUCUGCCUGCAUUGCAUCUACUUCACAGUUCGAGACAUGCCAAAUCACACACGUUCUAAGUACUUGUUGCUAGCAACAAAUCUCUGUUCCUCAGUGGCCAAGCAGACUAUAUUUGGAAUGUCAGAGCACCUAGCCCUUCCCUGGCCCACUUCCUUUAGCUCAGAAGUCUCCAAGCCUGAAAGUAACCUCACCCGUGUUUCCUUGAGUUCUGCUUGUUGAAGCAACUCUUUGGAUUAACUCCGCAAAACACAAAGUGACAGCAAAACAGAGAAACAAUCAGAUUCUUUUCCAUGAACUCCUUUCUUUUCUAUAAAAGUGUUAUUAAUCCCUAUCUUAUGGGACAAUUGUGAAUGUAUUUAAUGAGCUCAUCAAAAUAUACAUACACAUACAUAUAUAUAUAGAGGGGGGGGGUUGGGGGGAGAGAGAGAGAGAGAAAGAGAGAGAGUCUCACUCUGUGGCCCAGGCUGGAGUGCAGUGGCACAAUCUCAGCUCGCUGCAACUUCCAUCGUCUCCCAGGUUCAAGCAAUUCUCCUGCCUCAGCCUCCCAAGUAGCUGGGAUUACAGGCGCUCGCCACCAAGCCCAGCUAAUUUUUUUUAUUUUUCUUUUUGGAGACAGAGUCUCGCUCUGUUGCCCAGGCUGGAGUGCAAUGGGGCAAUCUCGGCUCACUGCAACCUCCGCCUCCCGGGUUCAAGCAUCCUGCCUCAGUCUCCCUAGUAGCUGGGACUACAGGCAAAUGCUGCCAAGCCAGGCUAAAUUUUUUUGUAUUUUAAUAGAGAUGGGUUUCACCGUGUUGCCCAGGCUGGUCUCGAACUCCUGAGCUCAGACAAUCCACCCGCCUCGGCCUCCCAAAGUGCUAAGAUUACAGGCAUGAGCCACUGUGCCCGGCCUAAUUUUUGUAUUUUUACUAGAGACCGGGUUUUGCCAUGUUGGUCAGGCUGGUCUCACACUCCUGACAUCAGGUAAUCUGCCGACCUCAGCCUCCCAAAGUGCUGGGAUUACAGGCAUGAGCCACCUUGCCCAGCCUGAGCUCAUCAAAAUAUUAAAACUAGUGCAUUUUUAAUGGCAGUGUAGACCUAGCACAUGGCUGGCAGUGUAUAACUGCCAGGUGUUUCUCCUCUUUUCCUCACCCUUUCUCUCUCUUUUUUAUUGAGGUGAAAUUCACAUAACAUAAAUCAAAUCAUUUUAAAGUGAACAAUUAAAUGGCAUUUUAUACUUUCCCAGUGUUGUGCAAUCACAUCUCUAUCUAGUUCCUAAAUAUUUCCAUCCCCCCCAGAAGGAAACGCAUCCCCUUUAACCACUCUCCAUUUCCCUCUCCUCAGCCUUCACAAACAACAAUCGACUUCCUGUCUCCAUGCAUUUACCUGUUCUGGUUAUUUUAUAUAAAUGGAUUUAUAUAAUAUGUGUCUGGUUCCAUUCACUUAAUGUAAUAUUUUUGAGGUUUUUUCACCUUGUAUCACGUUUUGGUAAUUCAUUUCUUGUUAUAUCUGAACAAUAUUCUGUUGUAUGAAUAUACCACAGUUUGUUGUCUAUUUAUCUAUGGAUGAACAUUUGGGCUGUUUCACCUUUUGAUGUUUGUAAAUUGUAAGUAGUGCUGCCAUGAACACAUAUGUACAUGUAUUGGUUUGAGUGCCUGUUUUCAAUACUUUUGAGUAUAUAACUAGGAGUGAAAUUGGUAUUCACCCUUUUUUUUCUGUUACUUCUCUUAAUGAUCUCAUGUCUGCGUGAUCCUUAAUGAUGCCCCGUUUUAAAAUUCCUGACAUUGUUUGUCACUAGGUCAUUUGUCUCUAGUUUAACUGAUCAAUCUUGACAGCAAUUUUUCACUUUUAUUAGUAUUUUAAGGAAUCAGCCUGUGGUUUUGAGAAUCUUGUCUGCUUAUACAUUUGAAUUAGUUACAAUGAUUGCUUUCUCUUUGGAUUUGUUUCGCCACUCCUUUGGUAAUGUCCGGAGAGAGCUUCUUAACUGACACGAACGGGGCUCCAUUGGUAUGUCCUGGGAUCCCUCGUCAGGCCUGUGCACUCCCAGACCUCCAAGGGCCGGGACCUGCAUUUUUGUCCGAGGGCCGUCCCCAGGCUGCCUGAACUUACUUAGCCUAUGGGCAUAGUGGGCUGGAGGUGCCUGGGAACUAACAGCGCCAGAGGAAACCUUUAACUAAAGACCAAAGGCUGUCAGGGUGUAAAUACUCUUCUUGCCCUUCGGCUGAGAUAAUUCUGAAGCAUAUUUUACUUAGUUUUCUAGAGUUCUUCUUGGUAAUUAAUGCAAUCAAGCUCCAGUCUCCUGCUGUGAUGACUGCCUUCAUAACAUACCCUUUAUUAUUUAUCUGUCUUCCCUCCGUAUCUCACUUCCUACCUGUUCCUACUUGUCUAUUUCCCUGUGAGGGACUGAACUGUGAGCCCCUCAGAUUCAACGUACGAAGCCCCUAAAUUUAUUUGUUCGAGUCUGAAGCCAAAGUACCUAAGAAUGUGGCUUUAUUUGGAGAUACAGCUUUAAAGAGGUGAUGAAAUUAAAAUGAGAUCAUGAAGGUACACUCUAAUCCACUAUGACUGGUGUCCUUAUAAGAAGAGAUUAGGACACAACACACACAGAGGGAAUCCCAUGGGCAGACACAGGGAGAACACAGACAUCUGCAAGCCAAGGGCAGGAGCCUCAGAAGAAACCAAACCUGCUGACACCUUGAUCUCAGAUUUCAGCCUCCAGAAAUGUGAGAAAAUAAAUUUCUGUUGUUUAAGCCACCUAGCCUGUGAUACUUUGUUACGGCAGCCCAAGCUAAUUAAUUCACUCCCAAUUAAACUGUUCGCCCUUGAAUCCUUGGCUCAAGGUCUGCUUCUGGGGAACCCAAGCUAAGAUUCAAAGUUUAUUGAUUUUUUUCAGUGUUUCUUCUUUUCUAAAUAUGCAUUUGAAGCUAUAAAUUCCCUUCUAAGCAAGGCUAACACUCUGAUAUGUAGUAUUUGAUAGUGUAAUGAUAAGUAUUUGUAGUAUAAUGGUAAGCUUUGAUAUGUAGUAUUAUUAUUUAAUUUGAAGUAUUUUCCAUUGCAAUUUCUAUUUAACCUGUGGCUUAUUAUAACUCAGAAGGGUUUCACAUUGGCCUUAUAGAUGCUCCAGCCAUGUGUGUCACUUCUGCUCACAACUCAAAUGACCAGAACUAGCCACAGGGCUCCACCCAGCCACAGGGGAGCAGAAAGCACAACCUACCGUGUUGGUGUUGCAUAGAACAUCUUUCUACAUGUUUCCUCUUGCGUAGGUGCUAGAAUUGCUUUAGAAUAGGCUAUAAACCUGGGGGUGGAGUCACUAAGUCAUCUUAUUAAACCCAUCUUCCAUUUUAUUAGAAAUUGCCAAGCUGCUUUCCAAAGCGGUUGUGUGAGUACACAUAUUGCCCAUGCACAUUGUUCUGCACCUUCACAACCCUUCAUAUUAUCAGACUUUUAAAAUUUUUUGGCAAUUUUGGAGGCAUGAAACAGUAUCCUUUUGCAUUUUAAUUUUCAUUUCCCUGACUAAUAGGCAGGUCAGGUUUGUUUGUUUGUUGUUGUUGUUGUUUGAGACGGAGUCUUGCUCUGUCACCAGGCUGGAGUGCAUUGGCACGAUCACAGCUCACUGCAACCUCCACCUCCUGGUUUCAAGCAAUUCUCCUGCCUCAGCCUCCCAAGUAGCUGGGACUACCGGCACCUGCCACCACGCCCAGCUAAUUUUUGUAUUUUUAGUAGAGACGGGGUUUCACCAUGUUGGCCACGAUGGUCUCUUGACCUCAUGAUCCACCCA